rnacentral:lncRNA from 1 species
AUUUCCCACAGGGGUUCUCCUCCUAGCUCUACAUGGGCACCAAUCUGCCCGUAUCUCCUUGGGAACUCUCUAGGGCUCCCAUUUGCUUGUGACCCUUCACAUUCUGAUGGGCACUCUUGACUUCUUAUCUCCCCUGACUUUUUAUCUGGCCCACUUUAGUCUCCCUCAUCAUAUUAAAAAAAAAUAAAGAAAUGCCCCUCACCAAAAAGCAGGCACCCCAAUUCCAAUGCCUGGUGGGACAAGCAGGUCUUGAAAUGAGUGUCAGAGGCGGCCAGAAGAACAUGUCAGAUGUCCUGGAGUUGGAGUUACAAUCCUGCGGGGCAUGCUGGGAACUGAAUGCUGCUCUUCUCGAAGAAUAAGAGGUAAUCUUACCUGCUGAGCCUCUCUCCAGCCCCUCAUUUAUCAAUAAGGAGACAAGCUAGAACCUUCAUCGCAGAGGAGAGGACAGACAUCCCUUAGCCAGGGGAUGGAGCUGUUUGUACCAGUCCCUCGUCAACCUAGCCCAGUUGAGGAGCAGUCUACUCCCAGCUGGCCUGAGCUCUGGAGGAGGGAUCAGUGUCUAGGAGACCAAGAUAGCCAAGGAGGCAUCUUACGCUAAAAAGCAAAGAGAUCUGAGACUAAAUGGGCCAUGUGAUCUAGAUAUGUGAUGUUGGAUUCUACACUAAGAAAAGAGACAGAGCCUAGAUUCUGGGCAGCCUUGCAGAGCCCCUCGGGCCCAAUGGGGCCUUGUUUUGUGCUUCCCCCAACCCCACAGCCUGCCUUGUUUAUUUGUUCAGCAGGUUUAUUUCAGCCACGGCACAGCCUGUUCCAACUCUGGAACAUUUAUGAGAUGAGCCAAUUUUUAAAAAUCAUACAAAAUAAAUGAUUUCUCUUGGAGCUAAAGGGUGGGGCUGCCAGGGUGGGAGACAGGUUUCUGGCCAGCUCUGGGCAGUUUUUGGUUUAUCCUUCUAUGUAUUCUUUCCCCCUCUUGCCCAUGGGAACCAAAGGGGCUGCCAUGGGAUUUCCUGACUCUAUUUCUCCAGACUAUGAUGUGGAAAGAUUGGGACAUUCAACCGUAAGAUUUCCGGUUCUCAUCUCCACCCUCGUUAGUUCCACUCCAGAGCCUGGCUCUAAACCACUGCAUUCAAGCCACAGCCCCAUCUAACUGGUCAGCCUCGGGAUGCAGAUGUCAGAAUGAGACCUAGGCAUCCCUCCCACUCUCUCUGUAGCAGCUUUCUCUCAAAGUCCAACCAGGAUUAACAGGACAUUUAAAAAUGUUGAGUUUCUUUUUUUCUGACUGGAUAUUAACCCAGCAUAGUGAUGUUAGGUAUCUCAGUUGAUCUGAAAUGCUUAUUUGUAGCUAUGAGAGUAUUUUAUCACCAAAAGACUAGAAAUUAAAGAUUGAUACGUUCAAUUUUGGGACCAAAAAAAAAAAUCCUUUAUUCAAACCUUAGUUUAAGCAGGUUUAACUGUAAUCCUAGCACUCCAAACUGAAGGAGGAAAACUGAGGGUUCAAGGCUAGCCUGAGCUACAUAGCAAGACUGUCUUAAAAAAAAAACCAAAAAACAGAAAAAAACCAAAACUAAAAAUCACAGCCCUGCAUCUCAACCAACUGAACACAUUGUUAAGUAUUCAAAGGAUGGAUAAGAGGAGUCCUGUGGUGAGGGAAACUGAGAGGACCCACCUGGCCUUUUGACACAGGCUUGACUUGUUUCCCUAAAAGACCAGGUCCACAGGAGACAACCUCAAGGGUAGAUGCUUGAGGUCGGUGAUGCUCUCCAGCUCCGAGAUUACUGCACCCUCUGCCAAUCCAGGCCAGUAAUCCCAUAACAAUCAAUUUAGGAGCUGUCCCAGCCCCAGGCCCUGGAUGCCUCAAUGAUGGAAUGUCCUCUUUGCACUCACUCAGGGAGUGCAGUGGCUGGUGAGAACUUGGGGCUAGGGCAGUGUGUCCUGGACUCCAGUGCCCACACCAGCACUCUCUGGGGCAGCUCGGGACAGCUCCCCCAGAAGCCCGGCCAGCUGUGGGAGGUACUGUUCUUCUUUUCCAAGAUUAGCUCAGACUUCAAACACCAACCCUGGGCCUGCUCUCUGCCAAUGAAAACAGUAUGUCAGGAGCCUCUUUAGGUAUCUGGAGGACAGCUCCCUCGGCUCCGCCCUUCCUCAUAUGAGGUCAUUGAAUUGGGAUGACAGAGCAAACAGUGACAUGUGCUAGGACUUGUUCCCAGAAUGAUUGCAGGGAUUCUCCAGGCCUUCUCUCCUCCCCGCUUCAGAGUGUGUGGGCAGUAAACUGAACUGUACUUAGUAAUUGGGUUCCUCGGCAAAGAGAAGGUAGGGCCUGGAUAGACAGACACUAGCACAAUGAAUUCCUUCGAAGCCUCAACACACAUUCGCACCAUUCUAAUGUGACUUAAGGCGGGGAGGAACUCCAUACCCCACUCUACAGAGGAGGAGGAGGAGGUGAGCAGUUCAGCGUUCCGUUGCUUAGGCAGACUCAGGCUUGCAAUUAUUUUGUCAAUAGUUUUGUUACAUCUUCCUGCCUUACCACAGUUUCUUAAAACUUGACUUUGGGAACCUUAAACUUCUGACUCUUUGCCUUGCUGUCUAUCAACAACAGUUUUGAGACGUGGUCUCACAUAUACUAGGCUGGCCACAAACUCCCUAUUAACCAAGAAUCCUCCUGUAUCUAUGUCCUGGGUACUGAGAUUAGGUGUGUGCUGCAAUGUUCCCAGGGCUUUGUGUGCAUCUGGCUGGCAUGUCACCACCUGAGCAAGCUAUAGUUUCCAGCCCUGCUCUUAACUGGACCCACACUGAAAGUCAACUUUGGGAGCAGGGGAUGGGAAUGGCUCAGCAUGGAAGAGGGCUUGCUCUAUAAGCAUGAGGACCCAGGUUUGAACCCCUAGAUGGACACACAGCUCCAUGUGCCUGUAUUCCCAGCAUUGGGAGGGGCGGGGAAUUGGGGCAGGAACGAACAGAUCUAGAGAGCUCAAUGGCUAGUCAGCUUGCCCAAAACAGGGUUUCUGGUUUAGCAAGGCAAACUAGGUGUGUCUUCCAAAAAGUCACUAGUUUCCAAUCUGUUUCCUUCAACAGCAAUGACAGCUAUCCCCUUUUUGCCAUUCAAGAACGACAGAGGACAGAUCUGGGGAAGGAGAGGUGUGAGAAUCCUCUGUAAACCAUAAAGUUGUAAGAGCACUAUGGGAUGGCCCACAUCUCCCACUGAGUGUUCUCACUGUAACUGGAGAAUGACUCUCAAGGAGAAAACAAGGGCAGAAACAAGGGGUUGGAAAGAGACUUGGGGAGUAGCCUUUGGUUGGAGAGGGAUUUGGGGCACAGCUUUUGGACCUUGGCUAAGUCCCCUGGCUAGCGUGCUGCUUCCAGGUGUCAGGUUUGGAAAGACACUGCUGAGCUGAAACAACUUGCUUCCCUCAACUUCCUUCAGAAGACUGAUUCUCUUUGAUCCUUUUUUCUGACUUGGAGCCUUUUUCUUCAGACUUUGCAAGUUAGCUGAAUAGUCGUGGUUCUCUACUGCCCUCGUGUGGUUGCUCCCUAACAUUGCCGCAUGGGCUUCUGAAGGGAUCUGAGGGACAAAAGCCAACCUGACCAAGGAAAGCAAAGCCAGCCUUCCAAAUCAGCAUUGUCCAGGGCCAGCAGAAGACUUCUACCCCAAAUUAAAGUCAGCAUCCUGAAGCCGGUGCUCCUCCAUGGGCGCGGGCGAAGCUACUGUAGUGGGGGAUGCUGACAACAGAGAGGCCACACGUGUGAAGACAGGGACAGAGGAAACUGGACUACAGGCUGGCUGUUCAACUUCUCUGUGAACUACUAUUUUUAAAAUGACACUUCGAAGAAAAUAAAAACAAUUUUACCAAUCACAAUUUUCUAAUAAAUACAUACACCUCUAGGUACAGUCAUUCCUUGUUAAGCAUGGCUAUCCAGGGUCCCUGCACCUGCCCAAAUGUGGGGUGUUCAAGUCCCUUCUACAAAAUAACACCAUGCUUGCUUAACAGAGCUCUCAGAAAACAGCCUACUUCAAAAGAAGAGGCUUUGGGGGAUGUCUGUUAUUGAGAGAAGGUUUACUACGUAGCCCUGGCUGGCUUUGAAGUUACCAGGCUGGCCUCAAAGUUGGAGAUUUAGAUUAUCAGGCAUACCUCAUCAAGUGGUAUAAAGGGCAUGAUAAAAGCACGCCUGGACUCAUGAUGCCCAAAAGUACAGAGAGCCUAAGGGGAUUGCAAAGCGUCGCAGGGAUUUGAUCCUGGGGAACCUUCAGGCUUCAGAGCCAGGCACUCCGUGUAAGGGUGGUGUAUCCGAUGGCAGCAGAGCCAGCGAGCAGACAGGGGAAACCUGGGAAGAGGCCUGGGGUGAGGGCAGUGUGGCUCAAAGCUUUACUUGAACAAUCUGAACCAGAUGAGAGGGAUGAAGAAGCUGCCCUCAGGAGGGAGCCAUUUCCCUUCACAUGCCAAGCCGGCUAACUCUUCUCCCGAUGCCAAGUCAGAUCCACCAUGAAGCAUGGUGUGGCACAUCCCUUAACCCAAGGCAUGGCAAGGUCUGCUAGAGAACAGAGACACUGUGAAAACUUAAAGAGACAAGUCUCAGGGUCAAAGAAUGGUUAGUCACAAAUGAGGACCAUUCUGGUUUGAUACCGUGACCCACUCACCAAAGGUCAAGGGGCCUUAUGUCAUUUCCCAGAAGCUCAGCAUCUGGUUGGAUCAAAUCCUGUAUGGGAUUCAGCCCCAACAUGCCCCCCUCUUCCUCCAGGAAGAUCCCUGCUUCUGACUGCCACAGAGCUGGCAGGCUUCCCUCUGGCUUCCAUUUUUUCAGGAAGCCAUCUACAGCUGCUGGUCCCUGUCACAUGCUAUGUGGUGGGUGUCGGCAGCAGCUUUUCAAUGGUAAAACAGACUUCAGGUUACAGCUACGGGCUCCAAAGACGGCUAACCCUUCCAGUUCUAGGGCUGUAGUAAGGGCUUAGACUUCAAGGGGCUAAGCUUCAUUCCAAUUCCUAUUUGUUUUGGAACAAUUCUAGGAAGAAUGUUUAUGGCAAGCAGUCAAAAACCACUGAUGGAAUGUGCUAGGUACUUUGUAUGGUAAGAAGUCUCUGAUCUCAAAGAGUUUGGGUCUCAAGAAGAGGAGACAUUCCUUGUGCUAAUAAUUUACUCUGCUUUUUUCCUUCCCAAAGCUUUGCUGAUGCCUGUCCACUUCACUGCCCUGUCACUUCUGCUAUUAGAUGCUACUGCCAUAAAGUCACACAAAGCCACUGUGCUCAAGAAAACAAAAUUUAGACAUAUGUGGUGGUGGUGGUGGUGGUAGGGGGUGGAACUCUUAGCAGUCAAGAGCCCUUACUGCUCUUCUAGAGGAUAGGAAUUCUGUUCCCAGCAGCCAUAGCUCACAGCGGCCUCCAGCAACCAACCCCAUGGGCUGCAACAUCCUCUCCUGGAUGUCCGCUGUAGGCACCUGCACAUGCAUCAUAAACUCACACAGAGGAGACAAACUGCACGCUUCUUAACCUUUUUAAGAAUAUGUAUUUUAGGGACUGGCUGUAAGGGAAGUGAUUCUCAGCAAGGGCAGCCCCCAAAAGAAUACUAUGUAGGAAGUCCAUUUGCCUCUAAACAACUCCAGUCUGCCCAGAGAAAUCAACCCAACUGGAACAUGGAGAUUCCUAAAAAACCAGAUACAGUAACCCAGACCCUGCCAUCCGGGGGUCAAGACUGAAUACACUGGGAAAAUCACUUCACCCCUUCAUGGAGGUGGGAGGGAUGGGGAAAGAUGUGACCGUGGGAGGGAAGCUCCCCCCCCAAAAAAAGGAUGGAGGUGGGGGGAUACAGGACAUAAAUAACACCCUAGCAACUAUGUACAAAUUAUGAUUUUCUCUUUUUUUUGUAUUUAGAGUCAUCAAAUUUAGCAAUUUUCUUUUUUUAUUAGAUAUUUUCUUCAUUUACAUUUCAAAUGCUAUCCCCAAAGCCCCCUAUAGCUUCCCCCACCCUGCUCCCCAACCUACCUACUCCCACUUCCUGGCUCUGGCAUUCCCCUGUACUGGGGCAUAUAAUCUUUGCAAGACCAAGGGUCUCUCCUCCCACUGAUGGCCGACUAGGCCAUCCUCUGCUAUAUAUGCAACUAGAGAGACAGCUCUGGGGGGUACUGGUUAGUACCAGAGCUCUGGGCUACAAUUUUCUUCAAUUAAGGAAAGUGUGUUUUCAUCUCACAUUGACUCCUUUUUUUUUCUUUCAAAUUAUGGUUUUCAAGGCAUCUUCAUGUACACCUCAUGGUCUCUCAGAAUACCUCAGCAGGAGAGACAUACAUUUUUAUAUUGUUUCCAGUUUAGGGGAAUCCUACUGUGUACCAACACUUACUUACUCUCAGGACCCUUCAGAAGCAGAAAAUAAUGACUGGAGUUGUCAUUACGACUCUGCAAAGUCAGAGGGACCCUGGCGUGCCCUCCAUCA